rnacentral:rRNA from 1 species
UGGGGAAUAUUGGACAAUGGGGGGAACCCUGAUCCAGCCAUGCCGCGUGUGUGAAGAAGGCCUUAUGGUUGUAAAGCACUUUAAGCGAGGAGGAGGGUACUGGUAUUAAUACUACCAGGUACUGGACGUUACUCGCAGAAUAAGCACCGGCUAACUCUGUGCCAGCAGCCGCGGUAAUACAGAGGGUGCGAGCGUUAAUCGGAUUUACUGGGCGUAAAGCGUGCGUAGGCGGCUAAUUGAGUCGGAUGUGAAAUCCCCGAGCUUAACUUGGGAAAUGCAUUGGAUACUGGUUAGCUAGAGUGUGGGAGAGGAUGGUAGAAUUCCAGGUGUAGCGGUGAAAUGCGUAGAGAUCUGGAGGAAUACCGAUGGCGAAGGCAGCCAUCUGGCCUAACACUGACGCUGAGGUACGAAAGCAUGGGGAGCAAACAGG